rnacentral:rRNA from 1 species
CCUACGGGAGGCAGCAGUGGGGAAUAUUGGACAAUGGGGGGAACCCUGAUCCAGCGACGCCGCGUGAGUGAAGAAGUAUUUCGGUAUGUAAAGCUCUAUCAGCAGGGAAGAGAAUGACGGUACCUGACCAAGAAGCCCCGGCUAAAUACGUGCCAGCAGCCGCGGUAAUACGUAUGGGGCAAGCGUUCUCCGGAUUUACUGGGUGGAAAGGGAGCGUAGGCGGCAGGGCAAGCCUGAUGUGAAAGCCCGGGGCUCAACCCCGGGACUGCAUUGGGAACUGCCCCGCUCGAGUGCCGGAGGGGCAGGCGGAAUUCCUAGUGUAGCGGUGAAAUGCGUAGAUAUUAGGAGGAACACCAGUGGCGAAGGCGGCCUGCUGGACGGUGUACUGACGCUGAGGCUCGAAAGCGUGGGGAGCAAACAGGAUUAGAUACCCCUGUAGUC